AAGUCGUAACAAGGUUUCCGUAGGUGAACCUGCGGAAGGAUCAUUACCGAGAGUCAUCUCUCCACCCGCAUGUGUACCGUCCUCUGUUUCUUCGGCGGGCCGGCCCGUUCCGGCCCGUCGGUGGUAACUCUCGUGGAACCUGUCGUCUGAGUUGGGCUUCCAAAUGAACAAAACUUUCAACAACGGAUCUCUUGGCUCCG
rnacentral:misc_RNA from 1 species